UGGGGAAUAUUGGGCAAUGGGCGCAAGCCUGACCCAGCGACGCCGCGUGAGGGAUGAAGGCCUUCGGGUUGUAACCCUCUGUUGCAGGGGAAGAGAAGAAGACGGUACCCUGUGAGGAAGCCCCGGCAAACUACGUGCCAGCAGCCGCGGUAAUACGUAGGGGGCGAGCGUUGUCCGGAAUUACUGGGCGUAAAGCGCGCGUAGGCUGUAAUGCAAGUCAGAUGUAAAAGGCACGGGCUUACCCUGUGUAUGCAUCUGAAACUGCAUUGCUGGAGGCAUGGAGAGGCAGAUGGAAUUCCUGGUGUAGCGGUGAAAUGCGUAGAUAUCAGGAAGAACACCGGUGGCGAAGGCGGUCUGCUGGCCAUGAACUGACGCUGAGGCGCGAAAGCUAGGGGAGCAAACG
rnacentral:rRNA from 1 species